GAUGAACGCUGGCGGCGUGCUUAACACAUGCAAGUCGAGCGAGAGAGUUCUUCGGAACAAUCUAGCGGCGGACGGGUGAGUAACACGUGGGCAACCUGCCUCAUAGAGGGGAAUAGCCUUCCGAAAGGAAGAUUAAUACCGCAUAACAUCGUUGAAGGGCAUCCUUCGAUGAUCAAAGGAGUAAUCCGCUAUGAGAUGGGCCCGCGGCGCAUUAGCUAGUUGGUGAGGUAACGGCUCACCAAGGCGACGAUGCGUAGCCGACCUGAGAGGGUGAUCGGCCACAUUGGGACUGAGACACGGCCCAGACUCCUACGGGAGGCAGCAGUGGGGAAUAUUGCACAAUGGGGGAAACCCUGAUGCAGCAACGCCGCGUGAGUGAUGACGGCCUUCGGGUUGUAAAGCUCUGUCUUUGGGGACGAUAAUGACGGUACCCAAGGAGGAAGUCACGGCUAACUACGUGCCAGCCGCCGCCGUAA
rnacentral:rRNA from 1 species